rnacentral:lncRNA from 7 species
AAAGACAGAAAGAAUGGUCAGAUGCAUUGAAUAGCUUCUGAAUGAGAUCUAUUUAAAUCGAAUGAGACUUCCAUGUGGGAAAGAAAUGACCAAGGGCUAACAUGCGGGAUUAUUACUUCAGGAGACACAGAUAAGACUGAGUAGCUGAGCUGUGAAACUCAUUGCCAUAAGGUAUUAUAAAGGCUUAAAAAUGAGUAAACUCUAAAGAGACGAAUUCUUGGAAGCCCUGCCACAGUUACUGAAUGCAGUGUCCAGAUGCAUUACCUGGGUGUAUAACAGAGGAUGCAGAGUCGACCUGAGUUAAGAUAUGUGCUGUGAGUGAAAAAGCUUGAUUCAGUUUUUCUCCUGAAGAGAAGGUGGCUGCUUCAGCUCUGCUGCACCUCAGGAUGUGUUGUACCUAGGAGAGACAAAUAGCGGAUGCAGGUGUAAUCAGCUAAAAAUUGUGAAGCUAGUAAGAAGUGUUUUGGAAAAGAUCACCAAGUGGAUCAAUCCCCCUAUCAGAAACAGUCAGCAGGGGAAAACAGUUUGCAUCAGUAUAUGUACCCUGCCAUUCAGACUGUAUCAAUUUGUUUCUGCAACUGGCAUAAUGUGGCAUAGUUCAGAGAGAAUCUCACAUAUGACUGCUGACAUACAGACAUACAGUGCUGGAAGUAAAGGAGAUUCAUGAGCAAAAGUGAAAAGGCUGCUUUUUUUUUUUUCUGCUUUUUUUUUUUUUUUCCUUCAUAUGGGAAUUCAACUGUUUUAUUUUGUAUAGUGUUAUAUGUAAAAUCCAUUUUUUUAAACUGAUAUUACUACAUUCAGUGCUUAUAGUAUUCUGUUUAUUGUUUCUCUGUGUGAUUGUCUAUCUGUGCAGAAUUUCAUAUGAAAAAAUGAAAUACAUGGAUUACAUAUCAAGUACCUGCUUCCUUGUGUUAUCCUAUCCAGAAAUAAUAAUGUUUUUUAUGUUGAAAGAUGGUUGGGAAAAGGUUAAUUCUGUAUCUGGAUAAGUAAGAUACAUUUAUUUCCUAAUUCUGUAUUUCAUUUCUGGGAAUUUCUAUGAUAUAACCCCCUCUACUUGCCUAUCCAGUUGCUGUUUAAAUAUAAUAAAAUGCAACACUUAUUCAUCU